UACGACCGUACCGCAAACCGACACUGGUGCGCGAGAUGAGUAUUCUAAGGCGCUUGAGAGAACUCAGGAGAAGGAACUCGGCAAAUUGACACCGUAACUUCGGAAGAAGGUGUGCCCUAUUAGUGUGUAGUGAACAACGAAGCAUGAAUGGGUUGCAAAAAAUCGGUGGCUGCGACUGUUUAUUAAAAACACAGCACUCUGCAAACACGAAAGUGGACGUAUAGGGUGUGACGCCUGCCCGGUGCUGGAAGAUUAAAUGAUGGGGUGCAAGCUCUUGAUUGAAGUCCCAGUAAACGGCGGCCGUAACUAUAACGGUCCUAAGGUAGCGAAAUUCCUUGUCGGGUAAGUUCCGACCUGCACGAAUGGCGUAACGAUGGCCACACUGUCUCCUCCUGAGACUCAGCGAAGUUGAAAUGUUUGUGAUGAUGCAAUCUCCCCGCGGAAAGACGGAAAGACCCCAUGAACCUUUACUGUAGCUUUGUAUUGGACUUUGAACAGAUCUGUGUAGGAUAGGUGGGAGGCUUUGAAGCAGGGUCGCUAGAUCUUGUGGAGCCAACGUUGAAAUACCACCCUGGUGUGUUUGAGGUUCUAACCUAGGUCCAUUAUCUGGAUCGGGGACAGUGCAUGGUAGGCAGUUUGACUGGGGCGGUCUCCUCCCAAAGCGUAACGGAGGAGUUCGAAGGUACGCUAGUUACGGUCGGACAUCGUGACGAUAGUGCAAUGGCAUAAGCGUGCUUAACUGCGAGACUGACAAGUCGAGCAGAUGCGAAAGCAGGACAUAGUGAUCCGGUGGUUCUGUAUGGAAGGGCCAUCGCUCAACGGAUAAAAGGUACUCUGGGGAUAACAGGCUGAUACCGCCCAAGAGUUCAUAUCGACGGCGGUGUUUGGCACCUCGAUGUCGGCUCAUCUCAUCCUGGGGCUGUAGCCGGUCCCAAGGGUAUGGCUGUUCGCCAUUUAAAGAGGUACGUGAGCUGGGUUUAAAACGUCGUGAGACAGUUUGGUCCCUAUCUUCCGUGGGCGCUGCAGAUUUGAGGAAGCCUGCUCCUAGUACGAGAGGACCGGAGUGGACACACCUCUGGUGUAUCGGUUGUCACGCCAGUGGCAUUGCCGAGUAGCUAAGUGUGGAAGAGAUAACCGCUGAAAGCAUCUAAGCGGGAAACUCGUUUCAAGAUGAGAUCUGCCGGGGCCUUGAGCCCCCUAAAGAGUCGUUCAAGACCAGGACGUUGAUAGGUCAGGUGUGGAAGC
rnacentral:rRNA from 1 species